AGAUCUAGCCAGCAGUUCUCAACCUGUGAGUUGCAAACACUGGAAAACAGGUAUUUCUGAUGGUCUUAGGAACUGAAACACCAUUCCUCUAAAAAGUUACAGCUAUGAAGUAGCAACAAAAAUAACUUUAUGGUGAGGGGGAGGUCACCACAACAGGAGGAACUGCAUUAAAGAGUCAAAGCACUAGGAAGGUUGAGAACCACUGAUCUAGGUAGGAAUGAUUAAUUUUUCAUUUUCUGUGCACUUUCCUGCAUUUUAAAAACAAAAGUAUUUAUUUUUGGCUUGAAGUAUCUGUGUCUUUGAGUUUGUAUGCAGCUUAUUUCUAUUCUCAUUUUCUCUAGGGAUUUUUAUGUUAGGAUCAUAUAGCUAAAUAUAAGUCUCCUGAGUGUGAUGCAUAUAAAUGCAGGAGAUAAAAAUCAUCUUUAACCUGAGCCACACUUGCACGCCUAGAGAGCCAUCUGUGGCAUAGAUGACUUCUCAGUGAGCGCCAUAAAGGAACUCAGCUGUCCGCACCACCCCGCAAACCCACCCCUGUGUGUGUUUGCCUCCCCUGGAAGAAAUUGCGGCCGCCUUUCAGAGUUCGUCAAGUUUUUCUGUUUAAGAACAGUUUCAUUCUAAACAACAAGAUAAAAAUUUAGUCUUACAGAGUCUCAUAUUAAAACUCAUCACUGCCAUGUGAUUUAAAUUUUACAUCGUUGGCAGGCAGAGGCAGGCAGAUUUCUGAGUUCAAGGCCAGCCUGCAUCGACUCUAGACUCUCUUCCCAAAUC
rnacentral:lncRNA from 1 species